rnacentral:misc_RNA from 1 species
GAUGAAGAACGUAGCGAAAUGCGAUAAGUAAUGUGAAUUGCAGAAUUCAGUGAAUCAUCGAAUCUUUGAACGCACCUUGCGCCCUUUGGACAUUCCGAAGGGCAUGCCUGUUUGAGUAUCAUGAACACCUCAACUCUCACGGCUUGUCCGUGAUGAGCUUGGACUUUGGGGGUCUUGCCGGCCUGUGGUCGGCUCCUCUCAAAUGGAUCAGCUUGCCAGUGUUUGGUGGCAUCACAGGUGUGAUAACUAUCUGCGCUUGUGGUUUUCCAUCAGAUAACCUUCAGUGAUAUGGAGGUUCGCUGGAGCUCACAAAUGUCUCUCCUUAGUGAGGACAGCUCUUUGAACGUUUGAUCUCAAAUCAGGUAGGACUACCCGCUGAACUUAAGCAUAUAAUAAGCGGAGGA